GAACCGCUCCGGUGGCCUAGUGGUUAGAGCGUCCACUUCAGAUGUGGGAGGUCGUGGGUUCAAAAUCCCAGCCAAUUCA